UACGUAGGGCGCAAGCGUUAUCCGGAAUUAUUGGGCGUAAAGAGCUCGUAGGCGGUUCGGUAAGUCGGGUGUGAAACCUCCAGGCUCAACCUGGAGUCGCCACUCGAUACUGCUGUGACUAGAGUGCGGUAGGGGAGAUUGGAAUUCCUGGUGUAGCGGUGGAAUGCGCAGAUAUCAGGAGGAACACCGAUGCGAAGGCAGCCCCCUGGGUCAAGAUUGACGCCUCAUGCACGAAAGCGUGGGGAGCAAACAGGAUAGAACC
rnacentral:rRNA from 1 species